UUGUUAUUCAUUUUUAAUAUGUGUGUUGACUUGUGCAGGAGUCGUGUAGAUGUCUGUACUUACAAAUGUCUUUUGUUCACUGUUCAUACAGCCAAGGGCAUAUAUAAGUCAUGGGGAGUUCGCCAUACCCUUGACAUGUGGCACGGAUCGAAAAACCUUGGAAAGAAGAUCCACCAGGCGAGCCAGCAGAAGGGGUGCUCCAUUUUACUCAUUUGGAGCAAGGAUGUGUGUAACCACUUUUGGUUUUGUGCCAAAAUGUCGGCAACCUAUGACGACUUCUUUGACAUGUGGGCUGGCCUACUCCAUCACGUCACAGGAGAACACGAGUGGGCUCUUGGCGCCUGUCACCAUGGACCCUUGUCGGACAACAGGGACAAGGAAUGGAUAGAGAAGGGAUCUGUGGCACACAGAGCACUCACUGAGAUAGU